rnacentral:snRNA from 1 species
CUCAGUAGGAGCUUAGGCUC